rnacentral:rRNA from 1 species
UACAGAGGGUGCAAGCGUUAAUCGGAAUUACUGGGCGUAAAGCGCGCGUAGGUGGUUUGUUAAGUUGGAUGUGAAAUCCCCGGGCUCAACCUGGGAACUGCAUCCAAAACUGGCAAGCUAGAGUACGGUAGAGGGUGGUGGAAUUUCCUGUGUAGCGGUGAAAUGCGUAGAUAUAGGAAGGAACACCAGUGGCGAAGGCGACCACCUGGACUGAUACUGACACUGAGGUGCGAAAGCGUGGGGAGCAAACAGG